rnacentral:rRNA from 1 species
GAUGAACGCUGGCGGCGUGCCUAAUACAUGCGAGUCGAGCGAACGGACGAGAAGCUUGCUUCUCUGAUGUUAGCGGCGGACGGGUGAGUAACACGUGGAUAACCUACCUAUAAGACUGGGAUAACUUCGGGAAACCGGAGCUAAUACCGGAUGAUAUUUUGAACCGCAUGGUUCAAAAGUGAAAGACGGUCUUGCUGUCACUUAUAGAUGGAUCCGCGCUGCAUUAGCUAGUUGGUAAGGUAACGGCUUACCAAGGCAACGAUGCAUAGCCGACCUGAGAGGGUGAUCGGCCACACUGGAGCUGAGACACGGUCCAGACUCCUACGGGAGGCAGCAGUAGGGAAUCUUCCGCAAUGGGCGAAAGCCUGACGGAGCAACGCCGCGUGAGUGAUGAAGGUCUUCGGAUCGUAAAACUCUGUUAUUAGGGAAGAACAUAUGUGUAAGUAACUGUGCACAUCUUGGCGGUACCUAAUCAGAAAGCCACGGCUAACUACGUG